GACGAACGCUGGCGGCGUGCUUAACACAUGCAAGUCGAACGGAAAGGCCUCUUUCGGGGGGUACUCGAGUGGCGAACGGGUGAGUAACACGUGAGUAACCUGCCCUUUACUUUGGGAUAACUUCAGGAAACUGGGGCUAAUACCGGAUAGGAGCUCCUGCUGCAUGGUGGGGGUUGGAAAGUUUCGGCGGUUGGGGAUGGUCUCGCGGCUUAUCAGCUUGUUGGUGGGGUAGUGGCUUACCAGGGCUUUGACGGGUAGCCGGCCUGAGAGGGUGACCGGCCACAUUGGGACUGAGAUACGGCCCAGACGCCUACGGGAGGCAGCAGUGGGGAAUAUUGCACAAUGGGUGGAAGCCUGAUGCAGAGACGCCGUGGGCGGGAUGACGGGCUUCGGGUUGUAAACCGCUUUCGCUCAUGACGAAGCUUUGUGUGACGGUAGUGGGUAAAGAAGCACCGGCUAACUACGUG
rnacentral:rRNA from 1 species